AUACGGAGGAUGCAAGCGUUAUCCGGAUUUAUUGGGUUUAAAGGGUGCGUAGGCGGAUGAUUAAGCGUGAGGUGAAAUGCCACUGCUCAGCAGUGGAACUGCCUCGCGAACUGGUUGUCUUGAAUGCUCCUGCCGUGGGAGGAAUGUGUGGUGUAGCGGUGAAAUGCAUGGAGAUCACACAGAACACCGAUUGCGAAGGCAUCUCACGAAGGGGUGAUUGACGCUGAGGCACGAAGGCGUGGGGAUGAAACAGGAUUAGAUGCCCUGGUAGUCCACGCAGUAAACGAUGAUAACUAACCGCUGGGUCGUAGUGAUUCAGUGGCCAAGCGAAAGCGAUAAGUUAUCCACCUGGGGAGUACGACCGCAAGGUUGAAACUCAAAGGAAUUGACGGGG
rnacentral:rRNA from 1 species